rnacentral:misc_RNA from 1 species
GAAAACUGAGGCUUAACGCCAAAGAGAAGGCUGUGGUUACGGAAAUAAAGGCUGUUGUCAAAAAUGGCAAAAUUUCUAUCUAGGCUCUGCUUGAGGUGGAGUCUAAAUGGUGGGCUUCUGUUUAUGCGAUCGGGGACCUUGUGGCUGUCAAGCAUUAUAACAGCAUCCCAAUUAAAGGUAAACACUUUAUACUUAUCUUUUGACUAUUUUUACUUAUUGAAAUUCUCUUCUUUUUGCAGAAAUGAUGAGCUAGGCCAAGAA